rnacentral:rRNA from 1 species
UACGUAGGGUGCGAGCGUUGUCCGGAAUUAUUGGGCGUAAAGAGCUCGUAGGCGGUUUGUCACGUCUGCUGUGAAAUCCCGAGGCUCAACCUCGGGCCUGCAGUGGGUACGGGCAGACUGGAGUGCGGUAGGGGAGAAUGGAAUUCCUGGUGUAGCGGUGGAAUGCGCAGAUAUCAGGAGGAACACCAAUAGCGAAGGCAGCUCGCUGGGACGGUAUUGACGCUAAGGCGCGAAAGCGUGGGGAGCAAACAGG